UGUGCAUGCUCCUUACAUAGUAUAGCAGAGGUCUCUGGUGUCCUAUAAAGCAGUUCAGGGUCCCAUGGCUUAGCUGUGUUUGAGAUUUUAUUUAUUUAUUUUUUUAAAAAAAGACUGGGCCUCUCCACAAAGCUCUGGCUGUCCUGAAACACACAAUGUAGACCAGGCUGGCCUCAAACUCAGAGAUCCAUCCAACUCUGCCCCUUGAGUGGGUUAAAGACAAGUACCACCACUCCUAGCUGGGUGGUUUUUUUUUAAGGUAUAAUUUACAUACAGGGAAAUUUCAGAUUUUUGUGUUUUAGUUUUCGCAGAAACCAUGUGUAUGAGUAAAUAACACUGUCUGGGGCUGAGGCUGUUAUCACUGGGGUGUGAUUUCCUAGCGUGCAUAGGGCCUGGGUUGGAUCCCUCUGUACAAUAGUCGGUCGGCUUCCUGCAUAACUAGGUGACCCGGUAAUGCUGUAGCGUUUUUCUUACGCGUUGUUUAGGUUCUUCCUCUUUAGUAGCUCAAGGGAUCUCGAUCGGUUCCCAGCUGGAAGAGUCAGAGGAAGCACGAUGGGGCAGGAACUGUCUUACUGCUGUGUGCGUGCGUGCCGUGUGCAUGCCUGUGUGCCUAGGGUGUGUUUUAGCUUGUUGAUUUGGAGCCCUGCAGUAUGGGUUAGAACUGGAACUGUUCCAAGGAGGUCCCUUUGGAUUACCAAAGUCCCCAUGACAUACUCCCCACCCCCCACCCCCCACCUGACAUAAAAUUUAACCAUCUGCAGAGUUUCCACAGAGUUAACUUGAGUUGUGCUUGGGAGAUUGAAAUAAGAUCCGUGUUGCAAAACGAGCUGCUGGCUUGAAGCACACACAGUCUGUGCACUGCUGAGCUUGCAGCCCUCAGGCAGGCAGGGGCCAGAUUCCAGUGGAAAUCACUCUUAACUAAACACAUUAUUAAAAUGUAUUGAGCAGGGCCUCAAACUCUUCUUUAAAAAAAUUAAAUGAGUGAGAGUUUUAUUGCAUAAAUAAUAUACGGACACUCUACAGGGGAAGGAAAAUGCAGACUUUAAGCAGGCAAAAAAAAAAAAAAAAAGAGGCUUUCUUGACAACCAUUUUUAAUCCUAGUCUCCUCCCCCCUGCCCCCAGAGGUUAACCACUGUCCUAGGGUUGUUGAUAUUCUUCGGGUGCUUUGUGUACUUACAGCUGGGCCUCUUGGACUUAGGAGUCAAAGAUACUCUACUGCAUGUGGGUAUCUUAGCAGGGUAUCUUGUUAGUGCGUGUGAAGUCACCUCAGUCUUAUCUCCUCCUAAGAUUUAGAAGGCUGAACAACUGUUUCAUUCUUUCCCAACUGAUGGACAUAGGAGUUAACCUCUUUUUCUGUUCGGAAAGUCCUUAGAGAAAACAUUAUUGCAGCUCUUGGGAGGUUUCUCUUGGGUGGGUACUGGAGAAGAGGAGUUCUUGGGUAGUAGGGUAAGGAUUGUACAUCCUGAUGAAGACACAGAUAGGGGGAACUUCUGAAUUUUGUUACCAUAGACAGCAGGAUGCCUGCAUUGUACUCUGAGAGCAGAACUUAGGGAGUGCUAGGCGUGUGUGUUCUCUGGAUCUCACCCGCCAGGCAGGCCAAGUACUGGUAGGUGAGAAAGGUUGGUGUCUAAGAAAGGCCCCUUUGGACCGGGUAGCUGAUAUCUGGGCCCAUGUCCAGAGGACUUUGGUAUGUUGAUAGUGUCUGUGUGAAGAAGAGUCACAGGGUGGAUGAACAGUGCGGUGGACCCACAAUGGGCGAUUCUCAGCUCUUCACUCUCACUGGAGACUCCACCACCUCUAGGGCUUCUCCUUGAGCUCUUCGGAAUACCAGGCAUGGUUUCACGGCUCAAUCUGGGGUGGAGCACAGGGAGGUGGUUUUAAUUUUCUGUGAGAGUGCUUAGGCCCCGGCCACACAGGUCACUAAUGGUUUAUGUUGGAGAAAGAAGCUGCGUGUCUUUCUCCCAUUCACACUUUCAGCCAUGGAUGUCUGCUUUUUGCAGAACUCCUAGAUGGCACCAGCACUAAUUAGGUCCCAUUGAUGGAGCCGAAGUAGUAAGGGAGGGUUAUGGCCAUGCUCCUGUUCCAAGGCUAGCCAUGUGCUGAUAAGACCGGUCACCCAUACAAGAGGUAGCAUCCUUUAUGGUUUGCAUGAUUUCCUGGGUUUUGCCUUCAGAUCCCUGUGCAGGUAGUGAAGGCAGCUUGUGUUGUGACCCUAGGGACACUUGGGUCAUUUGUUCAAGCGGAGGAAUGCAUUCACAUUUUUGCUUGGAGGGCUCAGGUGACUUCCCUCUGCUCUCCUACAGGUGUUUGCAGACUCUCCUUUUCUGUUCUUUCAGGAUUUGAUGUCCAGACUUGCAUACCCCUACCUUCCUCCCACUUGGCAGGUUAUCCCAGAGCCCCCUGGGCUCUGACCUUUUCAGCUUCUUCUGUCUACCACAUAGCAUAGAGCUCUGCAGGUUGUCUCUCUUUCAGGGGAGUGAACAUUGUCACCAGGGUGGAUAGUUUCCUAAUUUUAUGGGGGUCGCCUCCUUCUUUCCUUCCUUCCUGAUUUUUUAAAGUUAGUUAACUUUUUUUUUAUUUGCAGUGUAUUGGGCAGGAUGACUGUCUUUAUAAAAAAGAUUUAUUUGGGGGGCUGGAGAGAUGGUUCAGCAGUUAAAAGCACUGACUCCUCUUCCAGAGGACCUGGGCUCAAUUUCCAGCAACCACAUGGCAGCUUAACACUGUCUAUAACUCCUGUUCCAGGGGUUCCUAUACUCUCACACAGACACACAUUCAGUCAAAUCACCAAUGUAUAUAACACAAAAAUAAAUAUAUUAAAAAGAGAAGAUUUAUUUGUCUGUGUGUUUUCCAAGUGUAAGCAUGCGUCCAUGGAAGGCAGAGGGAUUGGAUCCUCUGAGGCUUAAAGCUGGCGUUCCAGGCAGUCGUGAGCUAUGCCAAGUGGGUGCUGGGAACUGAACUUAGGCCCUCUGGAAGACCAGCAAGCACUCGUAUUUGCUGAGCUGUCUUUCCAACCCCUUACCCCCGAAUGUCUUUUUGUUUUGUUUUGAGAUGGGAAUCUCACUAUGUGAGCCAAAGGCAUCUUUAAAAAGUCUUGGUCCUUCUGCUCGGCCUUCCCCAUGCUGAGAUUACAGGUGUGAGCCCUGCAUAGAUGCUGUCUUGCUUCUGGCCUUUGCGCCUACAGUAGGAUGGCAUCUGAUCCAUACGAUGUACAUGUCCUAGUCUGGGAGGGUUACUGUAUGUACUACACUGAGUUUUGGGGGGCGGAGGUGCCUUCCACCAUCCUUAUCAGGGGUAAAUUCUAUUUUCUUCUUUUAAAUUGUAGUGACUAUUUAUUGUGUGUGUAGGAGGUGUGUGUGGGGGACAUGUAUACCCCGGUACAUUAAGUAGAAGUUGGUGGACGGCCUAUAGGAGUUGAUUCUCUCCACCGUGUGAAUUCUUAGGUAUCAAACUCCAAUUGUCUGGCUCAUGUGGCGAGGGCCUUCACCUGCUGAGCCACCUCACUGGCUAGCAUUAUAAUCUAGUGUUUCCCCACAAUCGUGCCGUCCUGUAGUCUGCCUGUAAAUUUGACUGCACCGCUGCCUGCAGUUGAAUGUCUAUUAUUUGCUCCCUGUACUUAGGAUUGGAUUUAGGGCUUUGUGUAUGCCAGCUAAGUACUGUAUCACAAACCUGAUAACAGCCUCACUCAACCCCAUCUCUUUUGCUAGAAGUCUCUUUUGGGGAGAUGUUACAAGCAUGAAGGCCCGAGUUUGAAUCACCAGAACCUACAUAUAGCAGGUGCACACUUCGGUAAUCCCAGGACCCACAUACAUUAAGUACAGUGCACACUUCGGUAAUCCCAGGACACACAUACAUUAGGCACAGUGCACACUUCGGUAAUCCCAGGACACACAUACAUUAGGCACAGUGCACACUUCGGUAAUCCCAGGACACACAUACAUUAGGCACAGUGCAC
ensembl:lncRNA